rnacentral:rRNA from 1 species
UACGGGGGGGGCAAGCGUUGUUCGGAAUUACUGGGCGUAAAGGGCUCGUAGGCGGCCAACUAAGUCAUACGUGAAAUCCCUCGGCUUAACCGGGGAACUGCGUCUGAUACUGGAUGGCUUGAGAUUGGGAGAGGGAUGCGGAAUUCCAGGUGUAGCGGUGAAAUGCGCAGAUAUCAGGAGGAACACCAAUGGCGAAGGCAGCACUCUGGGGACGUGACUGACGCUGAGACGCGAAAGCGUGGGGAGCAAACAGG